GGCGACGCCGAGCGGAACCCGAAAAGGCGCCUCAGUUCGGAUUGGAGUCUGCAACCCGACUCCAUGAAGCUGGAUUCGCAGUAAUCGCGCAUCAGCCACGGCGCGGUGAAUACGUUCCCGGGCCUUGUACACACCGCCCGUCAAGCCAUGGGAGCCGGGAGUGCCUGAAGUGCGCGGCCGCGAGGAGCGCCCUAGGGCAAGACUGGUGACUGGGGCUAAGUCGUAACAAGGUAUC
rnacentral:rRNA from 1 species